AUGAACGCUAGCGGCAGGCUUAAUACAUGCAAGUCGAACGGUAACAUGAGUAGCAAUACUUGAUGACGAGUGGCGCACGGGUGCGUAACGCGUAUGCAAUCUACCUUCAACUGGUGAAUAGCCCGAAGAAAUUCGGAUUAACGCACCAUAGUAUAUUAGAGUGGCAUCACUUUAAUAUUAAAACUCCGGUGGUUGAAGAUGAGCAUGCGUGACAUUAGCUUGUUGGUGAGGUAACGGCUCACCAAGGCAACGAUGUCUAGGGGAUCUGAGAGGAUUAACCCCCACACUGGUACUGAGACACGGACCAGACUCCUACGGGAGGCAGCAGUAAGGAAUAUUGGACAAUGGUCGCAAGACUGAUCCAGCCAUGCCGCGUGAAGGAUGAAGGCCCUAUGGGUUGUAAACUUCUUUUGUACGGGAAAAAACCCCUCUACGUGUAGAGGGCUGAUUGUACCGUAAGAAUAAGGAUCGGCUAACUCCGU
rnacentral:rRNA from 1 species